rnacentral:rRNA from 1 species
GUACACACCGCCCGUCGCUCCUACCGAUUUCGRGDGGUCCGGYGAGCCUUUUGGACGRGUGCUUGCACUUGAAAAUCAAGCAAACCUUAUCACUUAGAGGAAGGAGAAGUCGUAACAAGGUUUCCGUAGGUGAACCUGCAGAAGGWUCA